UACGUAGGGUGCGAGCGUUAUUCGGAAUUACUGGGCGUAAAGUGUGCGCAGGCGGCCGCGCAAGUCGAGUGUGAAAGCCCCGGGCUUAACUUGGGAAUUGCGCUCGAAACUACGUGGCUGGAGUGUGGCAGAGGAAGGUGGAAUUCCACGUGUAGCGGUGAAAUGCGUAGAGAUGUGGAGGAACACCAAUGGCGAAGGCGGCAUCCUGGACCGGUAUUGACGCUGAGGAGCGAAAGCCAGGGGAGCAAACGGG
rnacentral:rRNA from 1 species